rnacentral:tRNA from 1 species
GGGAACGUGGCUCAGUGGUAGAGUGCUUGCCUUGCAUGCAUGAGGCCCUGGGCUCGAUUCCU